UCGCAGGGCUCUGGCCGCGAAGACGCCGCGUCAGGCCCGCCGCGUGCGAAUGCGAACAUUCACCGGCCGAAGCUUCAAUCAGAAAUUGUUUUGGAGAACUUCGAUGACCGCGACCGCGUGCGCCCAACCAGCAGAUACGCAGGGGUCAAAAAAACGAGGGCGUCGGUGAACACGCCAGGACUGAGAUCUCACCGGCAUAGUCUUACCGGGAAACUGCGGGGUCAUCCCCCGCAACGAACGAAGAGCUCUUGAACUCUUCUGCCUGACCGG
rnacentral:misc_RNA from 1 species